rnacentral:rRNA from 1 species
GAUGAACGCUGGCGGCGUGCCUAACACAUGCAAGUCGAGCGAACGGACGAGAAGCUUGCUUCUCUGAUGUUAGCGGCGGACGGGUGAGUAACACGUGGAUAACCUACCUAUAAGACUGGGAUAACUUCGGGAAACCGUAGCUAAUACCGGAUAAUAUUUUGAACCGCAUGGUUCAAAAGUGAAAGACGGUCUUGCUGUCACUUAUAGAUGGAUCCGCGCUGCAUUAGCUAGUUGGUAAGGUAACGGCUUACCAAGGCAACGAUGCAUAGCCGACCUGAGAGGGUGAUCGGCCACACUGGAACUGAGACACGGUCCAGACUCCUACGGGAGGCAGCAGUAGGGAAUCUUCCGCAAUGGGCGAAAGCCUGACGGAGCAACGCCGCGUGAGUGAUGAAGGUCUUCGGAUCGUAAAACUCUGUUAUUAGGGAAGAACAUAUGUGUAAGUAACUGUGCACAUCUUGACGGUACCUAAACAGAAAGCCACGGCUAACUACGUG